AUGGGGCAGCUCCAGAGCUGGGAUGCACCUGGUGCCAGUGGCUCCAUCCCUCUGGAAUGGGCUCAUCCCACAAUAAACAGCUUUAUCCAAAGGGCUCCAUCCCUCUGGAAUGGGCUCACCCCACACCAACAGCUUUAUCCAAAGGGCUCCAUCCCUCUGGAAUGGGCUCAUCCCACAAUAAACAGCUUUAUCCCAAGAUCCAUCCCUCUGAAAUGGGCUCACCCCACACCAACAGCUUUAUCCCAAGAUCCAUCCCUCUGGAAUGGGCUCACCCCACACCAACAACUUUAUCCCAAGGUUCCAUCCCUCUGGAAUGAGCUCACCCCACACCAACAGCUUUAUCCCAAGGUUCCAUCCCUCUGGAAUGGGCUCACCCCACACCAACAGCUUUAUCCCAAGAUCCAUCCCUCUGGAAUGAGCUCACCCCACACCAACAGCUUUAUCCCAAGGUUCCAUCCCUCUGGAAUGGGCUCACCCCACACCAACAAGCUUUAUCCCAAGAUCCAUCCCUCUGGAAUGAGCUCACCCCACACCAACAGCUUUAUCCCAAGGUUCCAUCCCUCUGGAAUGGGCUCACCCCACACCAACAGCUUUAUCCAAAGGGCUCCAUCCCUCUGGAAUGGGCUCAUCCCACAAUAAACAGCUUUAUCCCAAGAUCCAUCCCUCUGAAAUGGGCUCACCCCACACCAACAGCUUUAUCCCAAGAUCCAUCCCUCUGGAAUGGGCUCACCCCACACCAACAGCUUUAUCCAAAGGGCUCCAUCCCUCUGGAGCUGGGGGUCAGUGAUGAGCCCCCCCGGGCACGAGGAGUGGGGGGAGGCCGUGGGUCAAUGCUCGGGCAGAGCCAGGAGAGAAAACCCCGUGCAGGAGGGAGCUCAUUAAUGAUAUCGAUGACUAAUCACGCACUGACCCCUGGAACUGAUAAACCCACGGGUUCAGCGCUGCUGGAGCUGAUCCCGCAGCUCCUGCCAGCUCUCAUCCCUGAUUCCCAUCAGGUCUCCCCUGGCUGUGGAGCAGCAGAGCCCCCGCCCUGCCCCACUCCCCGUCCCUCCCCCGUGCCCAUCCCUCUCUCCUGAAAGGGAAACAUUUUCCCAGGCGCUGCCUCCAUCCAUUAGCACAAAGUGGCUUCUCUCGGCCUGCAGUUAAUAAUCCAGCUAUCCCUGGAAGAUGGAUGCUCCAUCCUGCUGGAGUUUAAAUAUUCAUGGGCCAGGGGAGGUGGCAGGGCUGUGUGGGAGGUCUGGGAUUCCCAUCCCGGGCUGGAAUCGGUUUGGACACGGUUUGGACAAGGGGAGGUGCAGGGAAAACGUGGCUGGAUGGGAUUUUGGAUGUCCUCAGGGGUGGGUGGGGCUGUACCCAAGGUUGGUGACACUUCUGCCCAGCCAGGUGUCUCCUGGGUUUUGGGAGUGUCCAGGUCCUGCAGGGAGCUGAGGCAGGGCUGGAUUUCACCCCAGGGGUGACCUGAUCCCUUCCUGCUGCUCCCAGGGUGGGGAAAAAUCCUGGAAUAUACUGAGAUGAAAGGAAUCCACAAGGACCAUCCGAUCCAACCCCUGGCACUGCAGAGACACCCCAAAAUCCCACCCUGUGCAUCCCUGGUGUCCAAACACUCCUGGAGCUCUGGCAGCCUCGGGAACGUUCCCAUUCCCUGGGAGCCUGGGCAGCUCCCAGCCCAGGGAUGGGGGGGAGAAAUCCCCUGGGGAAAAAACCUUUCCCCGGGGGAAAAAACACUGAUUCCCAUUCCUGAAUUUCUUGGGUUUGCCAACUUUUGAUGCCGCCACCCAUCCACCACUGCCACCCCUGAGUGUCCCCAACUUGUCCCUGCAGCAGUUCCCAGCCCAGGGACGGGGGCCCCCCCCCCCCCCCCCCCCCCCCCCCCCCCCCCCCCCCCCCCCCCCCCCCCCCCCGGGGACGGGGGGGAAAAACUCCCUGGGGGAAAACCUUUCCCUGAUUCCCGUUCCAACCUGAAUUCCCUGGAUUUCCCAACACUUUGACGCCACCUCCCAUCCCUGCGGGCAUGUCACAGCGAUGUCAAUACCGCUGCCACCCCUCAAUGUCCCCCUCCGGGAAAACCUUUCCCUGGGGGAAAAACCUUUCCCCGAUUCCCAUUCCAACUGGAAUUUCCUGGAUUUCCCAACACUUUGCCAACACCCAUCCACCAAUGCCACCCCUGAGGGUCCCCCUGGGUGAACCCCCCCCCCCUUUCCCAACACAUUGAUGCCGCCCAUCUGCCAAUGCCACCCCUGAGGGUCCCCCUGGGUGAAUACGUUUCCCUGAUUCCCAUUCCAACUGGAAUUCCCUGGAUUUCCCAACACAUUGAUGCCACCCAUCUGCCAAUGCCACCCCUGAGUGUCCCCACCUUGUCCCCACAGCUGAUCCUGGGCAGCUCCCAGCCCAGGGAUGGGAGGAAAAACCUUUCCCUGAUUCCCGUUCCAACUGGAAUUCCCUGGAUUUCCCAACACUUUGCCAACACCCAUCCACCAAUGCCACCCCUGAGGGUCCCCCUGGGUGAAAACUUUUCCCUGGGGAAAAAACCUUUCCCUAAUUCCCAUUCCAACCUGAAUUUUCUGACUUUCCCAACACAUUGAUGCCGCCCAUCCACCAAUGCCACCCCUGAGAGUCCCCCUGGGUGAAAACUUUUCCCUGGGGAAAAAACCUUUCCCUAAUUCCCAUUCCAACCUGAAUUUUCUGACUUUCCCAACACAUUGAUGCCGCCCAUCCACCAAUGCCACCCCUGAGAGUCCCCCUGGGUGAAAACUUUUCCCUGGGGAAAAAACCUUUCCCUAAUUCCCAUUCCAACCUGAAUUUUCUGACUUUCCCAACACAUUGAUGCCGCCCAUCCACCAAUGCCACCCCUGAGAGUCCCCCUGGGUGAAAACUUUUCCCUGGGGAAAAAACCUUUCCCUAAUUCCCAUUCCAACCUGAAUUUUCUGACUUUCCCAACACAUUGAUGCCGCCCAUCCACCAAUGCCACCCCUGAGAGUCCCCCUGGGUGAAAACUUUUCCCUGGGGAAAAAACCUUUCCCUAAUUCCCAUUCCAACCUGAAUUUUCUGACUUUCCCAACACAUUGAUGCCGCCCAUCCACCAAUGCCACCCCUGAGAGUCCCCCUGGGUGAAAACUUUUCCCUGGGGAAAAAACCUUUCCCUAAUUCCCAUUCCAACCUGAAUUUUCUGACUUUCCCAACACAUUGAUGCCGCCCAUCCACCAAUGCCACCCCUGAGAGUCCCCCUGGGUGAAAACUUUUCCCUGGGGAAAAAACCUUUCCCUAAUUCCCAUUCCAACCUGAAUUUUCUGACUUUCCCAACACAUUGAUGCCGCCCAUCCACCAAUGCCACCCCUGAGAGUCCCCCUGGGUGAAAACUUUUCCCUGGGGAAAAAACCUUUCCCUAAUUCCCAUUCCAACCUGAAUUUUCUGACUUUCCCAACACAUUGAUGCCGCCCAUCCACCAAUGCCACCCCUGAGUGUCCCCCUGGGUGAAUACCUUUCCCUGAUUCCCGUUCCAACCGGAAUUCC
ensembl:lncRNA